rnacentral:lncRNA from 1 species
AUCUCGAUUGCGUCGUCUUGAAGGUUGUGACAAUCGUAAUGUCUCGUCUAGCAGGUUAGCAAACAAAGGUUCUUGAGUUGAAUCCGCUGGUUGUUGGCUCUCUAUCUAAUUAGCGUCACAAAUGCAAAGAAGUUACAAACAAGGAUAGGAAAUUGAAUGUUAUCUUGCCUCAAUCUUGUCUCUUUUAUAAGAGAGAUUUUCAUCUUGGUUUUGAUGGAUGUUGUUGAUGAAAAACUUUG